rnacentral:rRNA from 1 species
AUUGAACGCUGGCGGCAGGCCUAACACAUGCAAGUCGAACGAGUGGCGGACGGGUGAGGAAUGUCUGGGAAACUGCCUGAUGGAGGGGGCUAACUACUGGAAACGGUAGCUAAUACCGCAUACCAUCAGAUGUGCCCAUAUGGGAUUAGCUCGUAGGGGGGGUAACGGCUCACCUAGGCGACGACCCCUAGCUGGUCUGAGAGGAUGACCAGCCACACUGGAACUGAGACACGGUCCAGACUCCUACGGGAGGCAGCAGUGGGGAAUAUUGCACAAUGGGCGCAAGCCGGAGGCAGCCAUGCCGCGUGUAUGAAGAAGGCCUUCGGGUUGUAAAGUACUUUCAGCGGGGAGGCGUUACCCGCAGAAGAAGCACCGACUAACUCCGUGCCAGCAGCCGCGGUAAUUC